CAUUAUCCCAUUAUCAAUUUACUGAUAUUGUGAUGCCAAUAUUGGCGAAAUAUUGUUUGCCAAUAUUGGCUUUGUAUUAAAUUUUACAUAAUGGUACGCAUGCGUAACAUGAAUGUCCUUUAGUAAUUUCAUAAUGUCCUUUAGUUUUGUUAAAAGUUUUAAAUGUAAAUAAUAGCAUCUUUUUACAUAAACAGGCAUCCUUAUGUUAUUUAUUUUUUUGCAAAAAUAAAUAAGAGUUCAAAAUAAAAAAUUUAAUUUAUGAAAAGAGGAGAAGCAGGAAAAGUAUUUUUAAUUCAACAUUUACAGAGUGAAUCAGGAGAAGAAGUGUUGUUUAUUUAUUUUAAAACAGAUAGUAUCACGAGAAGAAGUAGUGAUAGUAAUAAAAUUCUUUUAUUCAACAUUACGAAUUGAAUUACGAGAAGAAGUGGUUGUAAUUAAUUUAAAACAUAUUGCAUCACGAGAAGAAUAGGACAAAUAUUGCUAUACUUAAGUAUCAAGAAUAAAAUAAUGUUGUAUCUGCAUUUACAGAUGAUACUAAGUUAUACAGUUUGCUUUUUGAUAGCUCACCAUGCAAUAACCUGCAAUAAAGUAUGGACAUUAUAGGGAACUGGGAAAAACUAUGAGGUAAAAAUUUCCAUUAUUUCAUUCUAGAUGUGUCAUGACAGAAGAUACUAAGUUACACAAGAUGAGUUGGAUCAAACAUUAGAGCAAUUUCUAGAACAGUUUGGUGAAAGACCAAGGUAUGUGCUUCUCUAAAGACUAUUUAAUCUUAAAUUUAUUCUAUCAAAUUUUUUUUAUGGUUAAAGCUUGCACUUGUUUAGUUACAUUAAUUAAUAUUAAGAUAAAAGUAAAAAAAAAUUUUUUUAGUGUUUGAGCAUUGGUUUAUUUAAACUUUAAUUGACAAUUUUCUUAAUUUAACCAUAGUAUAUUUAAAGUGAUAUGUAUUUGUUAACUUGUUACUUGUUAAGGUAUUUUAUUUUUGUUAAAAAAAUUAUUUCUCUAAAAUUUUAUAUUGAUAUCUGUGGUACAAAAAAAAAAAAGUAAAGUUAUACCCUUAGGACCAACAAAUACAAAAUUCAUUUAUAUACUCGUUUAUAAAAAUCUCAAUACUUCAAUUAAUAUUAAAAACUCUCUCGUCAAUAAAUAGAUCUUCAUUGUCAGUAAUUUGACUAUUAUUUUGUAAGUACUAAGAAUAACACCGCUAAUUAAGUUGUAGGAACGAUCAAAAGAUCAUUUGUCAAUCUCAAUAUCUUGACAUUUCGUACUUUGUUUAUUUUCCUUGUUCGUCCUCACCUUGAUUCUUGCAGCUCUGUCUACUAUCCUAGACUUUAAAAAGAUCAACAAUUAAUUUAAAAUGUUCUAUGCUAGUCUAGUAAAUUUGUUUUUGGUCAGACUGGGCUCACUUGCAACCAAAGACUACUGAGAUUAAAUUUAAAUAGCAUGAGCUAUCGUUUCUUAUGUAAUGACAUGGCAGAAACUUACAAAUGCAUUCACAAUCUUUAUAAUUGUAGUUGCAACCCUUUUGUUUCCUCAUAAAAUACCAUUCAGUAUUUUAUCUAUCAACACCUGUGUCAGAAUGAUGUCAUCUGCACAGCCAUUAUAUUUAUUAUUGUAAUUACAGACCAUUAAAUAGUUCAAUUGAGUUGUAAUAGCGUUCGUGUUAAUAUGGCCACUUCUUAAUAUUAAUAUAUGAUUAUAUGUUUAGUUAGUAUUUAUUCCUCUAUUAUGACCAACUCCAACUUAACAACAUGCGAUCAUGCUUAUAAAUUGAAAAAAAUGUUUUGUAAGACAGAUAUCCGGAAAAAACUUUUCUAAUAUGGGAUUCACAAAUUUGUAGAAUAGUCUACCAUCUGAAAUAGUGUUCAACAUCUGUCACGACAUUAAAAAAACAUCUAGAUGCAUCUUGGGUUCAUUAUAUUUUUUUAUAUCAUAAAUUUAUUUGUGAUUAUUCUUUAGCUGAUGCACCGUUAAACUGAAGGUGCUAAUAAAGUUUACAAAAUUUGCUCUGGCUGAAUUUUUCAAUAAAAAAACAAUAUGUGUGCUAUGAAUGUAAUCUGUUUUUCAUGGCGUUUCAAUGAAAGUUUGGUGUAUUGGCCAAAUCAUUUUUAAGCAUCUUGCCUUUAAACUGCCAUACGUAAAGUCACGGUUUUAAAAGUAACUGAAAGCAGCUGAAAAUAAGAAUUUUUGGAUGAACUUUCUUACUUCGGUUGGUGGAGAUGAGAAACAACUUACAGCGGCAAUCUUAAUACAGCUAAUGGCCAAAGAAGUAUGUUUUUCAUACUCAGUGUAUGGAAUGAAACAAAAACGUCCUGCAAGGUCGUUAUAGAGUUGCGUUUAGUCGUUUAUCGUUGUAUUCAUUCAUUUCGAAAUCGCUACUGACAAAAGUAUUAAAGAAAAAGUUGGCAGCUUUCCGGCGACGGCCAUUAAUAGAGAUUAUGGAAGAAAAAUAGAACAGUAACUAAGCAACGCCCAAUAUUGAGCAAUGAAAUAAGUAUCGCCAAUAUAAUAAAAGUCGAUGCCCACUAUCUCAUAGUGAGAGUAUAAUACAGUAGUUUUUAU